AUGGGCCCACGAUGGGACCGGAUUGAGGGCGCUCCGCGGCCGCCAUGGCUCCCUUACCUCAAGGCUGCGGCCGGGAAAGAGGAAGCGCAGAGGCCGCCGGGAGCCGGGAAGACGCGCAAGCUCUCGCGAGAGGUCGGGCGCGAUCUCGGCCACGGAGCGUCGCUGAGCACCAGGUCUAAGCCCACAAGAUGGCAGCGGGUCCGUGCCUCAGGAGCUGCCUCCAGAGCCCUCGCUGGCCGGGGAGCAGAGCUCUUCUAUCGGGAAAGGUCUCAGUGGAGCCAAGGCGAGGUGUUGGAGCUUCUGCACCUGCAGCUCACUGCUAGUAGGCACAACACAGAGACUUGA
rnacentral:lncRNA from 14 species